AUACGGAGGGUGCAAGCGUUGUCCGGAUUUAUUGGGUUUAAAGGGUCCGUAGGCGGAUCUGUAAGUCAGUGGUGAAAUCUCAUAGCUUAACUAUGAAACUGCCAUUGAUACUGCAGGUCUUGAGUAAGGUAGAAGUAGCUGGAAUAAGUAGUGUAGCGGUGAAAUGCAUAGAUAUUACUUAGAACACCAAUUGCGAAGGCAGGUUACUAUGUCUUAACUGACGCUGAUGGACGAAAGCGUGGGGAGCGAACAGGAUUAGAAACCCCGGUAGUCC
rnacentral:rRNA from 1 species